rnacentral:rRNA from 1 species
UACGUAGGGUGCAAGCGUUAAUCGGAAUUAUUGGGCGUAAAGGGUGCGCAGGCGGUGCUGUAAGUCAGAUGUGAAAUCCCCGGGCUUAACCUGGGAAUUGCGUUUGAAACUGCAGUGCUAGAGUGUGAUAGAGGAGAGUGGAAUUCCAUGUGUAGCAGUGAAAUGCGUAGAGAUGUGGAAGAACACCAAUGGCGAAGGCAGCUCUCUGGAUUAACACUGACGCUCAUGCACGAAAGCGUGGGGAGCAAACAGG